rnacentral:rRNA from 1 species
ACGAACGCUGGCGGCGCGCUUUACGCAUGCAAGUCGAACGCCCCGAGCAAUCGGGGAGUGGCGGACGGCUGAGUAACGCGUAGGUAACCUGUCCAGUGGUGGGGGAUAACCCUUCGAAAGAAGGGCUAAUACCGCAUAACCUCCCGCGGUGAAAUUCCGCGGGAGGAAAGCCGUAAGGCGCCACCGGAGGGACCUGCGUCCUAUCAGGUAGUUGGUGGGGUAAUGGCCUACCAAGCCUAUGACGGGUAGCUGGUCUGAGAGGACGACCAGCCAGAAGGGCACUGAGACACGGGCCCUACUCCUACGGGAGGCAGCAGCGAGGAAUCUUGGGCAAUGGGCGAAAGCCUGACCCAGCGACGCCGCGUGAGGGAAGAAGGCCUUCGGGUCGUAAACCUCUUUUGUCGGGGAAGAAGUUCUGACGGUACCCGACGAAUAAGCCACGGCUAACUACGU